UGCUGCUUGAUCAUGCUAGAUCGAGACCUUUUCUUUUAAAUCGGGAGUAUUCACCGUUUCAUAGGAAGGAGACGAAGCGAUUAUUUAGUUCUAUGGAUUUUCUUCGUAAUUUCUUACUAAUUGUGCAACUAUAGUUGUUACUAGUGAUCAGACUGUGCCUGAAUUGAAAGUAACGCAUAGUAGCCUUCCGUGUCUUCCAGACUUGGACAGUGUUAGGAUGCUAAAUGAGAUUCUAGUUAAUGCAAUUUUUCGAGACAGUGGUCUAAGUUCAUUAACUUGGUGAAGUUUUGAGGGGAUUGCUUUCGGUGGCUUAUAGAUCAAUAUGCCAAAAUAUAAUAAUAAUUAUAGUCAUAGUUUUAUUGUAGAUCAGAAAAGUUCUGCUUCUUGUAUUUUGAAGGAGAUAUGUGGUUUUGUCUGAGCAAUUUGGUUUUAAUUUUCACUUAGGUGCCUAUGAUUCGUUGCAGAAGAAGUACCUGAAGACGCUUAUGUUCCGUAUUUGUGAGGAGACGUCAGGUCCGAUGAUCGACCAGUAUACUCGAGCUCUGCUGGCAAGAUGAUUCUGAUGAGACCUUUGGAUCAAACGCCUGAGGAGGGUAAGCGUGAUGGCGGUCACUCGUUUGUUUUACUUCAAAAUAAAAAGCUGAAGUGGCUGGUUUCUAUGUUUCGGCGCACCAUUUUGAUGAAGCUCCUUUACCAUGAUGAUGUCACGGUUACAUCAUCCAAGAUGCAAUAUUGAGGCUUCAUGAGGACAAUAAUUCCACGUGAAGCGGCAAUUCUUGUUGCAGAUAGGUGCGAUAGGCACUUGAAACAUGGCGGUCUUUCGGACGUGGCACGGACUCCAGUGGCACAUAUGGGACUACUCGAACACGAGGAAAAGAUAUAGAAAUCAUCUUGCAAUUUCGGGAUCCUAUGUCCGGCUGCGAAUCCGUCCGUCGCUUCUAACUCGAGCAGUCACAUCUGUAAGCUGCAUUGCAGCUUUUGUUUCAUGCUUCGCCAUGGUCGGUAGUCCAAGCAAGAUAUGCAAGAUCUACAUAAAUGAACCUGCGUGUGAAUUACCUUGAAGCACAACACUACAAUAAUUGUUGGGAAGGUCCACAACUAUUCAAUGACCACUCACGUAACUCACUGCAUGGGUUGAACUGGUGAAUGCGCAGGUAUCAAAAGUCCCUUGCUUUUCUUAAUUUAAAAUUUCUUCAGGAAGUACACCUUCAUUAUUCCAUGGCUUAAGACAAACAUAAGAGGACCACAAGAACUUUCACUAAUCUUGUUCCUUCAUCAUUAGAGAUCGUGUAAUGUACUCUGGACCCUGUAAGUACAUUUCAACCCUACCAAAUCAUUGAUCGUUCUCUUUUUAUAAUCCGAUUGCCUUCAGUGUCGUGCGAAGUUUCCACUCGUAUGUCUGGGACUGACAAUCCACCCUAUCAUGAUCAGCGCAGGAUUUGUUUAGUGAAAGCUGGAUGCCCGUGGGUUUUGCUGUCUAUUACCAUCAUCAGAGAUGAACCAAGACAUUUUACAGUGGUCCAGUUGCUACGACUUGUAGUUUGGAAUACUCCAGGCAAAGAUUCUAGAUGUGCUUUUUCUCUCCUACUUCAUCCUGUCUCGAGUUUAGUUUCAACUGUGUCUGGGGUCUCAGGGUCCACAAGAUAGAAUGAGCUCCAAAUCAGCUGGGAAGAAUGAAGGUUUGUGUAUUUGGAACUUACUUUUCCGGAUAUUUUUUUUAUUCUGCAUGGAUAGUGCGCAGGCUUUUGCGUAUGCAUAUCAAUCUGCAUGACGAAACUACAUUUUUGAGCCUUUCAUUAUAUGAACUUAAAGUGAAAGAACAAUAUAUCAUUAGAUUUCAAGUGUAUAAUCAUAUAGUUCUUCUCAUGAUCCUGUCUUUUUCUUUUCCAAACGUUUCUGUCAUCUGUUGUGCUCUUUUGUUUAAAAAUGAAUAAAAAGGGUCAGCUAAUUCUUUUAUGUAAUAGAUUCUUAAAGUUGGCAUCUAUCAU